rnacentral:misc_RNA from 1 species
UACGGAGGUGGCAAGCGUUGCUCGGAUUCACUGGGUGUAAAGGGCACGUAGGCGGCCGCGUAAGUCCUGCCUGAAAUCCUCUGGCUCAACCAGAGGGGGUGGUAGGAAACUGCGUGGCUAGAGGACAGGAGAGGUGAGCGGAAUUCCCGGUGUAAGGGUGAAAUCUGUAGAUAUCGGGAGGAACACCAGUGGCGAAGGCGGCUCACUAGACUGUAUCUGACGCUGAAGUGCGAAAGCGUGGGGAGCAAACAGG